rnacentral:rRNA from 1 species
GAUGAACGCUGGCGGCGUGCCUAAUACAUGCAAGUCGAGCGAACGGACGAGAAGCUUGCUUCUCUGAUGUUAGCGGCGGACGGGUGAGUAACACGUGGAUAACCUACCUAUAAGACUGGGAUAACUUCGGGAAACCGGAGCUAAUUCCGGAUGAUAUUUUGAACCGCAUGGUUCAAAAGUGAAAGACGGUCUUGCUGUCACUGAUAGAUGGAUCCGCGCUGCAUUAGCUAGUUGGUAAGGUAACGGCUUACCAAGGCAACGAUGCAUAGCCGACCGGAGAGGGUGAUCGGCCACACUGGAACUGAGACACGGUCCAGACUCCUACGGGAGGCAGCAGUAGGGAAUCUUCCGCAAUGGGCGAAAGCCUGACGGAGCAACGCCGCGUGAGUGAUGAAGGUCUUCGGAUCGUAAAACUCUGUUAUUAGGGAAGAACAUAUGUGUAAGUAACUGUGCACAUCUUGACGGUACCUAAUCAGAAAGCCACGGCUAACUACGUG